CUUGCCCCUUAAGGUGUUGUAGAUGUGACUACUGUAUCACAUAUGAGGCCAUAGGUAGCAGAGAGGAGAGAGGCUAUGUCUAUACUCAUCGUUUUGCCCUAAGUACUCUGAACAAUUACUAGCCUAACAUU